UAGAAAUGCACCACUGGUACGGGUACGGAUCCGACGCCUCUCGAAGGAUGCAAGGGCUCUCCGUACUCUACUCUUACUCAACCCGUUGCGAGGAUGGAUGAUAUGGCUAAAUUGAGUAGA
rnacentral:ribozyme from 1 species